rnacentral:misc_RNA from 1 species
UCCGGUUUGUCACCGGCAGUCUCCCUAGAGUGCCCUUGCGUAGCAACUAGGGACAAGGGUUGCGCUCGUUGCGGGACUUAACCCAACAUCUCACGACACGAGCUGACGACAGCCAUGCAGCACCUGUGUUACGGCUCCCUUUCGGGCACACCCCCAUCUCUGGAGGCUUCCGUACAUGUCAAGGGUAGGUAAGGUGGGGAUGACGUCGUACACCUGAAC